rnacentral:rRNA from 1 species
UACGGAGGGUGCAAGCGUUAUCCGGAUUCACUGGGCUUAAAGGGUGCGUAGGUGGGCAGGUAAGUCAGUGGUGAAAUCUCCGGGCUUAACUCGGAAACUGCCGUUGAUACUAUCUGUCUUGAAUAUCGUGGAGGUUAGCGGAAUAUGUCAUGUAGCGGUGAAAUGCUUAGAUAUGACAUAGAACACCCAUUGCGAAGGCAGCUAACUACACGAUCAUUGACACUGAGGCACGAAAGCGUGGGGAGCAAACAGG